GACGAGGGACCUAGCGUUGCUCGGAAUUAUUGGGCGUAAAGCGGGUGUAGGUGGCUUGGUAAGUCAGAUGUGAAAGCCCUGGGCUUAACCCAGGAAGUGCAUUUGAUACUGCUAAGCUUGAGUGCGAGAGAGGUUAAUAGAAUACCUGGUGUAGUGGUGAAAUACGUAGAUAUCAGGUGGAACACCGGAGGCGAAGGCGGUUAACUGGCUCGACACUGACACUGAGACCCGAAAGUGCCGGGGAUCAAACAGG
rnacentral:rRNA from 1 species